rnacentral:rRNA from 1 species
GGUCAGGCGGGACUACCCGCUGAGUUUAAGCAUAUAAAUAAGCGGAGGAGAAGAAACUUACAAGGAUUCCCCUAGUAACGGCGAGCGAACCGGGAGCAGCCCAGCUUGAGAAUCGGGCGGCUGUGCCGUUCGAAUUGUAGUCUGGAGAGGCGUCCUCAGCGACGGACCGGGCCCAAGUCCCCUGGAAAGGCGCGCCUGAGAGGGUGAGAGCCCCGUCCGGCCCGGACCCUGUCGCCCCACGAGGCGCCGUCAACGAGUCGGGUUGUUUGGGAAUGCAGCCCAAAUCGGGCGGUAGACUCCGUCCAAGGCUAAAUACAGGCGAGAGACCGAUAGCGAACAAGUACCGCGAGGGAAAGAUGAAAAGGACUUUGAAAAGAGAGUCAAAGAGUGCUUGAAAUUGCCGGGAGGGAAGCGAAUGG